rnacentral:rRNA from 1 species
AUUGAACGCUGGCGGAAUGCUUUACACAUGCAAGUCGAACGGCAGCACGGACUUCGGUCUGGUGGCGAGUGGCGAACGGGUGAGUACUGUAUCGGAACGUGCCCAGUCGUGGGGGAUAACGUAGUGAAAAUUACGCUAAUACCGCAUACGAGCUAUGGAUGAAAGCGGGGGAUCGCAAGACAUCGCGCGAUUGGAGUGGCCGAUAUCAGAUUAGGUAGUUGGUGGGGUAAAGGCCCACCAAGCCAACGAUCUGUAGCUGGUCUGAGAGGACGACCAGCCACACUGGAACUGAGACACGGUCCAGACUCCUACGGGAGGCAGCAGUGGGGAAUUUUGGACAAUGGGCGAAAGCCUGAUCCAGCCAUUCCGCGUGCAGGAUGAAGGCCCUCGGGUUGUAAACUGCUUUUGUACAGAACGAAAAGGUUUCUACUAAUACUAGGAGCUCAUGACGGUACUGUAAGAAUAAGCACCGGCUAACUACGUGCCAGCCGCCGCCGUAA